GCGUACGUAGGCGGAUUAAUAAGUUAGAGGUGAAAUCCCCAGGGCUCAACCCUGGAACUGCCUUUAAAACUGUUAGUCUUGAGAUCGAGAGAGGUGAGUGGAAUUCCAAGUGUAGAGGUGAAAUUCGUAGAUAUUUGGAGGAACACCAGUGGCGAAGGCGGCUCACUGGCUCGAUACUGACGCUGAGGUACGAAAGUGUGGGGAGCAAACAGGAUUAGAUACCCUGGUAGUCCACACCGUAAACGAUGAAUGCCAGACGUCAGCAAGCAUGCUUGUUGGUGUCACACCUAACGGAUUAAGCAUUCCGCCUGGGGAGUACGGUCGCAAGAUUAAAACUCAAAGGAAUUGACGGGGGCCCGCACAAGCGGUGGAGCAUGUGGUUUAAUUCGACGCAACGCGCAGAACCUUACCAACCCUUGACAUACUUGUCGCGGAUUCCAGAGAUGGAUUCCUUCAGUUCGGCUGGACAAUGUACAGGUGCUGCAUGGCUGUCGUCAGCUCGUGUCGUGAGAUGUUCGGUUAAGUCCGGCAACGAGCGCAACCCACGUCCUUAGUUACCAGCAUUUAGUUGGGUACCCUAAGGAGACUGCCGGUGAUAAGCCGGAGGAAGGUGUGGACGACGUCAAGUCAUCAUGGCCCUUACGGGUUGGGCUACACACGUGCUACAAUGGCAUCUACAGUGAGUUAAUCUCCAAAAGAUGUCUCAGUUCGGAUUGGGGUCUGCAACUCGACCCCAUGAAGUUGGAAUCGCUAGUAAUCGCGGAACAGCAUGCCGCGGUGAAUACGUUCCCGGGCCUUGUACACACCGCCCGUCACACCAUGGGAAUUGGGUCUACCCGAAGGUGGUGCGCCAACUAUUUAUAGAGGCAGCCAACCACGGUAGGUUCAGUGACUGGGGUGAAGUCGUAACAAGGUAGCCGUA
rnacentral:rRNA from 1 species